AGCUCCUCGAGUGGUUGGGACGAUUAUUGGGUCUAAAGCGUCCGUAGCCGGCCGGAAAGUUCUCCGUUAAAUCCAACCGAUCCAAUCGUUGGGCUGCGGGGAAUACUCUUUGGCUUGGGGCGAGGGAGGUCGGCGGUAGUCUCGGGGUAGGGGCGAAAUCCUAUAAUCCCGAGAGGACCACCAGUGGCGAAGGCGGCCGACUAAAGCGCGCCCGACGGUGAGGGACGAAAGCUGGGGGAGCGAACGG
rnacentral:rRNA from 1 species